GACAGAGGUGCCGAGCGUUAGGCGGAAUCACUGGGCUUAAAGCGUGUGUAGGCGGGUCGUUAAGUGUCUUGUGAAAUCCCCCGGCUCAACCGGGGAAUGGCUGGGCAUACUGGCGAUCUUGAGCAGUCUAGGGGCAGAUGGAACAAGUGGUGGAGCGGUGAAAUGCGUAGAUAUCACUUGGAACGCCAAAGGUGAAAACAGCUCGCUGGGGCUGCGCUGACGCUGAGACACGAAAGCCAGGGGAGCGAACGGG
rnacentral:rRNA from 1 species